AUCAUCGCCAUGGCCCAAACACAGAUUGGACGAGAACACGAUUUCAUCGUGGAGUCCAUCUCAAUCAGCUGUUGUUUGCAAGGCACAUUUUACUGAAAAAGACUACGUGCAGGAAACUAUUCAUGGGCGCAAACCCACCAUACAGAGACUUAAGUCUACUGCCAUUCCCAGCCUAUUUUCCUGGACCAAGCAAGAGACUGAAUCGUCCGCAAAAAGAAAAAUCAGGGCAGUUUCCUGUGAAAACAAAAGAACUAAACUUGAUGAAUAUUGUAGUAGAAAUCUAGAGGAAAGUUUUGAUUGUAAAGUUGGUUUUCCUGAAGAAGUCAUUCAUACUGCAGAAAGGAUUUAUGACUGUCCACCACCAACUGCUGAGCUAAUGUUGAGCUUCAAAGAUGGAAUUACGCAAACACCAUCAAUGUCUAUGUUUUCAGCAGAGAAUUUUGAAAUGAAGACAUGUGACACAGCCAUGCAUUUUUAUACCAGUUUAGAGUUGUAUACUAAAUUUUUAUUUGUUUUGACCACACUUGGUCCAACAGCACAUUGUUUGAGAUACUGUAUUACAUAUAUUUUCAAAUUGAUAGGGUGUCAGUUGAAAAUCAAUUUUUUUAUGAUUUUGAUGAAAUUGAGGCAUUAUACAACCAACUUUGAACUUUCUAGAUUCUAGAUUGAAUCUAGUGUUAAGAAUAUUGUGUAUACAUGGAUUGUUUUUAUGCCUAAACAGUGGUGUGAGGCUAACACUUGGCCAUCUAGUGGUUUAGUCAGGCAUUUUUCGCCAUCCAACUUCAAAUUAAAGUUUCCUACGACUUGGAUUAUUAUUGACAGCACAAAAUAUCCCGUGAUAAAACUAAAGCUCCUAGAGCUCAGGCAACCUUUUCAUCAUAUAAAAACAGAAACACUGAAAAUACUUGUAUGUUCGACGCCUGGUGGUUUAGUCAACUAUGUCUCUAAUGCAUAUGUUGGUUCUACCAGUGACUAUGAAAUAGUUGAAAGAUGUAGAAUACAAAAUGUAGUUCAAUUAUGUGAUCCAGCCAUCCAGGUGACAGUGUGAUGGCAGACAAAGGUUUAAAUGUGCAAGAUUUUUUUGCUAACUUUUUUCAAAAAAAGAAACAGAAUUAGUUCCAAAACUCUUAUACGGGAUAGAAAAGUCUCCAAUUAACAUGUGCACAUAGAGCGAAUUAUUGGACUUGGCAAAACAUACAAAAUUCUAACAAAUCCUAUGAAUGGAACUGAAACAAAACUUUCAUCUGAAAUAACAUUUAGUUGUUUUAUGUUGUGUAAUUUUAGAACUUGUAUUGUGCCAAUGGAUGCAGAAAUAAAAGUGACGCAAUGAA